rnacentral:lncRNA from 1 species
UUUUCUGUGCAUGCAGAGCCACGCGGCUCUGCAUGCACAGUCCUGGACAGAGGAGACUUUGGCUUUAAAGCCAAAGUCUCGCUCUUCUUCUUCUCUUUCCCCCUUCAAAAUUUUUUAUCCUCCUUCUCCUCUGCGCAGCCUUCUCUUCUCUCUCUCCAUCGCCGGAAGCCUUCAUCUUCAGCAAAUCUUCUUCUCCAGCACAAGCGAUCUCUU